GGAGAUGAGAGGGCACAGCACAAUUUUGAGAGCCAAACAAAGGCGGGGCACAGAGCUGUUGCCUCGAGAUGUGUGGCCUCAGAAGGUCUUGUCGAGGCGAGUGAUGAAAGGGAGGAGGUUCCCGAGGAUACUGGAGCCGGAAGACGCGGCGAGGGUCCGGGAUUCAAGGAGAUUCAAAACCCGUGUCACUGCUGCCAUCUUCCUAGAAUCCCUUUAAAUCCUCAUGGAUUUGCUGACAUUGGGAGCAUCCUGAAAGAGUCCCCAUGCUAGGGUGGCUGCAGUAACAGGUACAAUGAGAAAUGAUGGUUCUCCCCACUCCAGAAAAAAUCAAAUCAGAUUGUGAAUUUAUUCCCUGACAUUAACACACGGCAUUACAGGAGCAUGUACAUCACAUGGUCAAUUUAUUGGCAUGAGGAUUAUGUCAUCGGGGAAUAAAUGGGAAAUUCUCAAGGAGAAGCCAAGUUGUGAGCAGUGCACCUUCACAAGCAAAGCCUCGACUGAAAUCUUCUCUAACAAUUGGCUGGUCACUCCUGAGCGUAAUCUACCCCUUCAGAACACUGGGGAUGAAUUUAGAGACAUCGAAGCCUCCUGAUGAGAAAUACGUGUCCACUCACCGGGAGAACUGAAAUACCAGGAGAUUUCUACACAAAUCUCACAGAGUCCUUCUGGCGUCCUAGGGGUUUGCUCACAUAUAAGGGACUUUCUGGUAGGAAGAGAGUCUCUUUACAUUCUUUAUUAUAUGAUCCUGGUGGCUUUGUAGAGAGAUGGUACAGCUGACAGAUCAUGUCCUGUGGGGCCAGGGAGUUGUGUGUGUGUGAAUGCUCUGUGAACUUGGGCAAACUACUUAGCCUCUCUGAGCCUUAGCUGCAUCAGCUUUGAAAAACAGGAUGAUAAAAUGGAGUCACCUUAUUUGACUUUUAUAAAUACACUUACACAAUUACACAAGUUGUGGGGAUGGGAAGAGAGAGUUGGGGAAAGAGAAAUGAGAGAGAGAGAGAGAGAGAAUGAAUGAUAAACAAUUUAAACAACAGUGGGGUGUAGACCAACGCCCAGCCUGGCAAGGGUGAGCCCAGAGAGCCUUCCCUCCUGGCUAUUGGCAGCCUCCGCAUGGAAGCCUGUCGUUGACUUCUUAAUGAUGAGAGAUGUUCUGGGGGCACUCCAGGAUUCUUGGACAUGGGAUCGUCUUCACAGCUGUGUCUAUUGAAAGCUGAAGUUUCAGUCUCCCCUGCCCCCUGCCCCCUGGAGUGGCUUCCCAGGGGAAAUUCAAGGGCACCUGUGACUGCAUGGCUGCUUUCCUUUCCUUUACUCAAUGCCGUCCUUUGGUGACAGCCGUGUCUCAUGCCAGGAUACAUGAGGUGCUCUAUAGUAGUAUGUUUUCCCUCCUGGGAGGUAAUUUUAUUUAAAUGUGAAGUCAAAAGGAUCACUAAAUAGAACCAUGAGGCAACCACUCUGGGCACCUGCCUGGUGAUAUCCACAAGAGCUGACCACAGGUGCCCCCUGUGCCCAGCAAGUCCUUGGCUGGGCAGUCACACAACAGGCAUGGGGAUGUGUGGCCACCAAGCCCUCCAGGGCAGUGCUAUUUGUAAUAGUCCCAAAUGGGAGAGAUGGCAAACGCCCGCCAAUGGGGCAGCAUGGAUAAAUGGAUGCUGCACAGCAACGGCGAUGAGUGAGCCCCAGCACCCGUGAGCUCACCAGUGUAAUAUUGGGUGGAAGAAGCCAGGAGGAAGGGCAUUCACAUUCUGUGAUUCCAGCUACACUAUGUUUAAAUAUGGGCAGAGCUAGGCUGUGGUGCUGGAAGCCAGGACAGUGGGAUCCUUGCAUGGGGGUGAUGGUGCUGGUAGGUUCUGGUAAUUUCCUCUUCUUGAUCUGGGUGUAAACAUUUUGUGAAAAUUCAAUGAGCUGUACAUUUAUGACUGGUACAUUUAUGACUUUGUAUGAAUAUUAUACUUUCAUAAAACUACUUUAAAAUAUGAUUGUGAACCUUUUUUCACCUAUUUUCUGCCAAUUAGCACCGAAUUGCUCACUAACUAAUGAGUGGUGCUGGUUUUGACUUGCUUGCUACACUGUCUUGAGACAGAUAGGGUUUUCUGUGCUUUGUAUGACCCCCUCUGGAACCAGGGUGGGACUGGGAACACUCGGAAAACAUGUGCUGACAGAUGCUGGGCAUCCCCGUGUUGGUGGAGGCAUGCUCAUUCCUCAGCAAAAUACCCAUAUGGGGUGUUGGCAGGAAAGAGGACAGAAAAGGACAAAGUAUUUGUCUCUGCUAGCGUUCCUGGAGCUGUCUCACCUUGGCCAAGCCCCCGCCCAGUCCUCUCCUAACGUGGACAGACUAGGGGGCAGAAACUAGUCAGCCAAAGAAUUUCCAAGCUAGGGGUUGAUGAAUGCUUGGAUAAUUUGCCCAUGAACACGUUGGAUUCUUCUUCACUUGCCAUCACGGGGGGAUAAGUACCCCAGUUUUUUUUUGGAGAGAAUUGAGGGACUGUGCCAUUGCAGUGUGGAUUUCAAGAGAUUUUAAACGGAAGGCAGAGUAACAGUGUGGUUUGGGAAGCUCUAAAGACAGUUGUCCUGGUGCGGUUUCUUCCAUAAAAGAGUGGGGACGCCAUGGACCUGCUCACCAAAUUCCAGUCCCGACACAGUUCUGUGAGGCACUCUCCACAUCAGGGCAGACGGGCAGGAGGAGUUUACACAGCGAUCUGGGGGCCAUUAGAGCACUGAGGGAUCCAUUGCUGUCUCUUGUUUCUGUUUCCCACACUGUGCUGGGUGCUGGGAACAUGACGAUGAACUUGAAGGAAAUAAUGUGUACGGUGGUUCAUUUCCAAGACAUAGUGCCUUGAAUCAGUUUAGGUCAGCAAACUACAGAAGAAACAGGAUAUACUAGGCCCCUGCUUGGAGAGCUGAUGCCUGUUUGUUGCCCCUCACCCCCUUAGUUGCCCUUACCAGAACCAAAGGAGUUUAGUCUAAGAUGAAAGUUUACUAGCCUGCAAAAUAGCUCACUUUGUCUGUUCUUAUCAGCCUGCCCAGCUACUUAGGUCAUAAGUGAAAUACUUGAAGAGCCCCUGAGCUAACUAGGAUUGCAAUGCAUUGUGGCUGCAACAAGAUGCAGCAAGACA
ensembl:lncRNA novel transcript